rnacentral:rRNA from 1 species
UACGAAGGGGACUAGCGUUGUUCGGAAUCACUGGGCGUAAAGCGCACGUAGGCGGAUGUGUCAGUCAGGGGUGAAAUCCCGGGGCUCAACCUCGGAACUGCCUUUGAUACAGCACGUCUCGAGUCCGGAAGAGGUGGGUGGAAUUCCUAGUGUAGAGGUGAAAUUCGUAGAUAUUAGGAAGAACACCGGUGGCGAAGGCGGCAUCCUGGACCAAUAUUGACGCUGAGGAGCGAAAGCUAGGGGAGCAAACGGG